GGAAACGAGGGUCCAACACAGAUUCUGAUAUGUACCUCUCAUUUCUUUCAAGACUUUGUUUGCUCAAGUGGUUGACAACUUUCAUUGUGAUUUGAUGGUUGGGUUGUGUACAUGAAAGCUUCUUAGAGAGCAACUUGGCUAUUGUUGGUGGCAGUGUACGGUUAAUGAGGAAGGAUUGUCAAGAGUUGGUCUAAAAUUUCCCACAGCCAAGGUGGGAUGCAAAAUUGGGUGUGGAUACAUAGCUUGAGGUCAUUCACAGUAAAAGCUCCUACCUAUGCCUUGGAAUUUUUUUAAGCGCAUGCUCUUUCAUCAGCAAUAAAAUAGUCCAGAAAACCGGGGUACAUUGCACAAUUAACCACCACAGGAAGAUAUUUUUAGUAGUUGGGAGCUGCCAGAGUGGGUGCCAUUAUAGGAAAUUCAGUGUUUCUUCCAAUGACUGCUAUGCAAAAAAAGAAAAAAAAGCUGUUUUGCAUUGCUAGAAUUUUGCUCAUGAAGAACAGAAAAAGGCUUAUAUUUUAGAAGGUUAUUCAGGUAUUGUUGCUUUGGUAUAUGAAUGAAAAUAAUUAAUUAUUUACUGAGUUUUGUUUUUUUUUUUUUUUACAUAUUCUGGAGUAUUUAAUAAAACCCAAUUUUUGGAUAUGUAAAUUCAUGUGCUAUUUGAGAAGAAUAGAAAGUAGUUUGUAACAACUUAGAAUUUUUUUUUUAAUGUUGUUUGUGUAGAAAUGGAAGUGUUUUUCUAUCAGAGUUCCUUUUGAUAAGUAAUUAAAGUAGAAUUAAUAGUCUAUCUAAAGUGAAGGAAAUGUCUAUACUUGGUGAAAAGAAGAAAUUUUACCUCUAUUCUCUGAUGGUCUGAUGUAAAAAGUUAAGAAAACGGAAAAUAUUCAAACUGCUUGAUGUGUUUAAAUUUUUUAAAGAUGAGAUUUUAGAUGCAAUUCCUCUAGCAUGUAUGUGCUUCAACUUUGGACAUCGGUUUAGUAUAAUUUUCUAAAGAACCACUGGAAUUACAACUUAUCAAAAAAUAAAACCAUUUGAAUUACAAGAACUAUGUGCUUUUAAUUAUUAAAAAAAAAAAAAAAAAUCUCUAGACACUAUAAUGCUUAUGACCGUUACACACUUGAAACUUCCAUAGUGGAAAUUUGGUGGCUAGGAUUGUAAGAUGCAUUCUUAGAAUUCAAACUACAAAAGAUUGAGCAAAUUGUAACUUGACAGAGAAAAAAUAUGUAUUUAUUUUUCUUUUCCAAUUUUGUUUUAGGUUCUUUGUUCUUUUAUGGUUUUCAACUUUUCACAGAUUUAAUAUAGAUGUUGUUUAUAUAUUAAAAUUUUCAAUUGUUAACCAUGUUUGAUGCUUUAUUUAUUUAUUUAUAUCUAUUUAAGACUAGAACAACAAUACUUAUAAGUACAUCAAAGUUCUUUUUUAUAUCAGUUGUGCUUUCUCUUAUCAAUCCCUUACUUUCUACCAAUAGAAAUUAAAAUAUUGUUUCUUUGUAUUUUUACAUUGGAAUUUUACCUUAUAUUAUUAUUGAAUAUGUUCUCCUUACAUGGAGCUCAAAAGGUUUUAUUAGUUUCUAUUAUUUCAAAGGUUACAUUUAAAUAGGUCUUCAUUGUGCUAUUGCCUCCAGUUGGACAACAAUCACCCAUUUAGCACACUAAAGAAUCCAUUUGAAGGAGUUCUACAUAUGUGCUAUAGUUUUUGCAGGUGGCUGAUGAUGACUCAAUUCAUCCAAGUGAAACAGAGUUGACAUUUAUAGUUCAUCAGGCCUAGCUAGAAUAUGGCUUUGCUCACUAGAUGUUUUUUUGGUUAAUAAGUACUUAGACUUUAUUUUUUGCUAUGGGGAAUUUUGGACUUUUGACAUUGUUAUUGAACUUGACUCUACACCGCACAAUUGUAAUUUUUGUUUUUUGAAUUGAUUGGCAUUAUUAAAACAAAGCCUUUAAUAAACAUAUUAAUUGUUGUAUUUUA